AGAUGAUGACUGAACCCCGGCUAGAUCGAUGAUAUAGCCGUGUGAGAGCUGAUU
rnacentral:snoRNA from 1 species